rnacentral:rRNA from 1 species
GACGAACGCUGGCGGCGUGCCUAAUACAUGCAAGUCGAGCGCAGGAAACUGACGGAACUCUUCGGAGGGAAGGCAGUGGAACGAGCGGCGGACGGGUGAGUAACACGUAAGGAACCUGCCUCAAGGAUUGGGAUAACUCCGAGAAAUCGGAGCUAAUACCGGAUAGUUCAACGGACCGCAUGGUCCGCUGAUGAAAGGCGCUCCGGCGUCACCUUGAGAUGGCCUUGCGGUGCAUUAGCUAGUUGGUGGGGUAACGGCUCACCAAGGCGACGAUGCAUAGCCGACCUGAGAGGGUGAUCGGCCACACUGGGACUGAGACACGGCCCAGACUCCUACGGGAGGCAGCAGUAGGGAAUCUUCCACAAUGGACGAAAGUCUGAUGGAGCAACGCCGCGUGAGUGACGAAGGUUUUCGGAUCGUAAAACUCUGUUGUGAGGGAAGAACAAGUACCACUUAACUACUGGUACCUUGACGGUACCUCACCAGAAAGCCACGGUUAACUACGUGCCAGCCGCCGCCGUAAGAC